rnacentral:rRNA from 1 species
UACGGGGGGGGCAAGCGUUGUUCGGAAUUACUGGGCGUAAAGGGCUCGUAGGCGGCCAACUAAGUCGGACGUGAAAUCCCUCAGCUUAACUGGGGAACUGCGUCCGAUACUGGAUGGCUUGGAUUUGGGAGAGGGAUGCGGAAUUCCAGGUGUAGCGGUGAAAUGCGUAGAUAUCUGGAGGAACACCGGUGGCGAAGGCGGCUCUCUGGGACGGUACUGACGCUGAGACGCGAAAGCGUGGGGAGCGAACAGG